AAUAAAUGAAAUUAGUGCUAGAUAUUUCUAAUCAAAAAAAUUUUAAAUAUGCAUUUAUUAUUUUUUAAUGGUUUAAUCUUUUGUUUAUACUAUUUUUCACUAUCCACCAGUAAUUCAAUAAAUGAUAAAUUAUGGAAAAAAGCUGGUAGAUUAAUAAUUCGUUCUAAUAACGCCUUUAACAAAGAACUAGUGGACCAGUUGUCACGAACACCGUUGAAUAUAUCAUAUCAUGUGAUAGCUGAUCUCCGGCGUCUUUACUUAUCUACCCUCCGCCUAUCCAUCACGGCAACUCGACAACCUACGCAUCCAUUGUACUGUCGUACUGUCCAUCUUCUCUGCACAACGAAUGAAUAUUAUGCGUCUUUUGUUUACACAACAAGCGCCUCCGCUUUUGUGUGCUAUUCAGUGGUGGUCGUUUAUGGGUGCUGGUGGUAGGGAUGCGACUUUAAAUAUAAUACCACUAGUCAUAAGUAUAACAAAUUGUCAAAUUAAAUAUAAUAAAAUAGAACACAACACACAUAUAAUUAUUUUAAAGGUUGCAGUAGAAAAUAAUUAUAACAGCGAUUAUACUAUUGUAGCAAUCGAUAACAACAAGCGUACACGCCGUUAAUUCUAAAAACGAAUUACCAAUAUAAUAACUUACUAAUAUUUUAACGUAUGGACAAUAGGGUGACCGCUAAUUAUGAACUUUUAAAAUUUUAAAACAAUCCCCUAGGAUUGUUCGAAUAUCCAAAAAGAAUAAGUGUGCAAAAAAAGGUAAUGGUUGUGAAAACUCUAAGGCGUGCUCAAAGAGGGUUAAAAAUGAUACCCUUAGGAUAGAUUUUUUUGUUUAUCUCAAAAACAUUAACUUUUAUGAUAAAGUUUAUAGAAACUUUUUUGUAGAUAUAAUAUUUUUUUUAUAAAAAAUAUAUCUACAAACAUUUUCGAAAAAUUGUUAUUUAGCCUAACAAAAAAUUAAAAUACAAAUGUUCUAUAUUUACCGUUCAAACUGUUAACUUGAUUUAUUUUAUAAACCGUUCACUGUAAAAAAAA